AAGGAAAAGAGAAGCUGUGAAGCCAGACAUUACCUUAGCACAACCACAGCUACGCAGUGGAUGACAGCAAAGAAGGAAUUUUGGCAACAACCUCUCAAGGAUUUUGCUGCUCCUCAGGGUAUCUUCUGACUCAGUGAAGGGCACUUACGAGGUGGAAAAAUGACAGGCUGUGCAUCCUCCAUCCUUGGAGAUUUUCAAGACUGGAUAAAACUAUGAGCAAUCUGGUCAGAUCUUCAGCCAACCCUGAUUUCAACAAGAGGUCAUUCUGGAAAACUCCAGG
rnacentral:lncRNA from 1 species